rnacentral:lncRNA from 1 species
UCUCCAUACCCUGUCGGGUAUGGGCACCAAAACACAUAAGGUCUUCAUACCCCGUUCGAUAUGAGAGACCACGUUCUCGGUAUAGUUCCCUACGGACCCGGUCCGUCCACUAUCUCCCAGGAUAUCUAGUCAGGUUGUCCACAUUAUCCAUUUAUCAAUUCACAUAACCAUUUUCCAUUUUCCUUGGUCUCAAUUAUCGAAUC